CCUAGUGACCGAUAGUGAACCAGUACCGUGAGGGAAAGGUGAAAAGCACCCCGGAAGGGGAGUGAAACAGUUCCUGAAACCGUGUGCCUACAAGUAGUUAGAGCCCGUUAAUGGGUGAUAGCGUGCCUUUUGUAGAAUGAACCGGCGAGUUACGAUUUGUUGCAAGGUUAAGCGGAAAAAGCGGAGCCGUAGCGAAAGCGAGUCUGAAUAGGGCGCAUAAGUAACAGGUCGUAGACCCGAAACCAGGUGAUCUACCCAUGUCCAGGAUGAAGGUAAGGUAAUACUUACUGGAGGUCCGAACCCACGCACGUUGAAAAGUGCGGGGAUGAGGUGUGGGUAGCGGAGAAAUUCCAAUCGAACUUGGAGAUAGCUGGUUCUCUCCGAAAUAGCUUUAGGGCUAGCCUCGAGGUAAAGAGUCAUGGAGGUAGAGCACUGUUUGGACUAGGGGCCCUUCUCGGGUUACCGAAUUCAGAUAAACUCCGAAUGCCAUGUACUUAUACUCGGGAGUCAGACUGCGAGUGAUAAGAUCCGUAGUCGAAAGGGAAACAGCCCAGACCACCAGUUAAGGUCCCCAAAUAUAUGUUAAGUGGAAAAGGAUGUGGGGUUGCUUAGACAACCAGGAUGUUGGCUUAGAAGCAGCCACCAUUGAAAGAGUGCGUAAUAGCUCACUGGUCGAGUGACCCCGCGCCGAAAAUGUACCGGGGCUAAACAUAUUACCGAAACUGUGGAUGAACCUCUUUAGAGGUUCGUGGUAGGAGAGCGUUCUAAGGGCGGUGAAGUCAGACCGGAAGGACUGGUGGAGCGCUUAGAAGUGAGAAUGCCGGUAUGAGUAGCGAAAGAAGGGUGAGAAUCCCUUCCACCGAAUAUCUAAGGUUU
rnacentral:rRNA from 1 species